rnacentral:rRNA from 1 species
CGCGGCGUCUAUCAGGCAGUCGAGCGGACAGAUGGGAGCUUGCUCCCUGAUGUUAGCGGCGGACGGGUGAGUAACACGUGGGUAACCUGCCUGUAAGACUGGGAUAACUCCGGGAAACCGGUUCCUAAUACCGGAUGGUUGUUUGAACCGCAUGGUUCAAACAUAAAAGGUG